rnacentral:rRNA from 1 species
GACGAACGCUGGCGGCGUGCUUAACACACGCAAGUCGAACGGAAAGGCCCUGCUUUUGUGGGGUGCUCGAGUGGCGAACGGGUGAGUAACACGUGAGUAACCUGCCCUUGACUUUGGGAUAACUUCAGGAAACUGGGGCUAAUACCGGAUAGGAGCUCCUGCUGCAUGGUGGGGGUUGGAAAGUUUCGGCGGUUGGGGAUGGACUCGCGGCUUAUCAGCUUGUUGGUGGGGUAGUGGCUUACCAAGGCUUUGACGGGUAGCCGGCCUGUGAGGGUGACCGGCCACAUUGGGACUGAGAUACGGCCCAGACUCCUACAGGAGGCAGCAGUGGGGAAUAUUGCACAAUGGGCGGAAGCCUGAUGCAGCAACGCCGCGUGCGGGAUGACGGCCUUCGGGUUGUAAACCGCUUUCGCCUGUGACGAAGCGUGAGUGACGGUAAUGGGUAAAGAAGCACCGGCUAACUACGUG